CACACGAAAACAUGGCGGAGUAUUUGAGUUCGGACCUUUAUAUAUACAGUCUAUGGUUCGGACUCGUCAGCCGAGGAAGAAGUUUUGAGCAAUAUGAAGAGAUUGGAUGGGGGAAUUCAGCCAUACAGGUUCGAGCCAAGUAGUCAGAACUGUCAGGAAUCCAGGGACAGUGACGAUGAGGAUGAACAGCACGGUGAUCUUGCUGGAGACGAUCCUUUUACUCGUGCAAUUGAUUUCGGGAGGCGAGUAGGAAGACCUGUACAUGAAUGGUGUACUUGCGAUCGGUGUGUAGCCAUGGACAAUCCUCUUAUGAACAUAUGUUGUCAUGAGCUUGAAGAGCUUGAAAAUAAACUGUUCACAGACGACUUGGAUUGCAUAUGUUUACACGGGGAAUUCGACACUGUGGUGUUAAGGCCCUGACACACCAAGCAGUCACCAGAGGACUCGCCGACGCUGACGUCGGCUGUUGCCUGGCCGUGUUCUCUUGCGUCUUGGCCAUGUGUCGCACGGGAACACACCGCAAAGACUUCAGUGCGUGAGUGGCAAUAACUCACCUUACCAGCAGGCGGCGGUAGUGUGUAUUCGUCAUUCAAAAGAGGCAACAACCGGAAGACAGAGAAGAAGAACAGACCGUGAUAUAAACAACAACAAAUAGCUUGUGUGUUCCAUUUUCCCUCUCGUCCAUCUAAAACAUGUUUCGUGCGGCACUGGAGCUAUCAGCCAUUGCAGUGUUACUUGUGGAAGACAUUCUCAAGCAACAGUCUCUCAAGAAGCGGAAGCGAAGAAUUAGGAGAAACCGCACUAAUUGGGUGAAGUCAUGGAUACUACAGCGAGAAGCUCACGGUGCUUUCCCGAACCUGUGUCGAGAGCUGGAAUUCAAUGAAGUGCCAGAUUUCAGAAAUGUCGCUCUGCUUUUUCCUGUGCAGUUCCACACGUUGGAGGAACUCAUCACUCCAAUCACCCAGAGGGAAAACACCAACUACCCGGAUUGCAUCUCCGUGGGGACACGUCUGAUGGUUACGCUGCGAUUUUUGGCAACAGGCAUCUCAGCAAUGUUUCUACGCAAGUGCCUUCUCAAAAUAGCACAUCGUACAGCUGAAACUGAAGAACAUUAAGAAAAAAUGAUCUCUCUGUGAACAGGGGCAGAAGUCCCUCACCGGCAAUGUCCACAGGCAUGGAGAUGGUCCUGCUGAGAGUUGGCACUGUUGCUCCGUCCUUCCCUUGUUCCCCUCCUGUAGGUACAUAUAGAAAAUCACUGCUUCACCCUUAACGGCAGCUUCUCGAUGCUCCUCUGUCACAGUCAGGCUGCCGAAGCGCUUACCAUGCCGGAUGGGACUGGUGCGAGUUGGAUGGGGAGAUGGAGGUGGAAGACGUGAGGGCUGCAUUUCCUACAGGACCAUUGCAAAUGAUAUGUGUAUGAUGUGAGAUGGGGGAGAGGUGAAACAGAGACAAAGCAUUAGCUUAUUGCAACUCAAUUUGUAAUAAAAACAGCAUGUGUGCUGAGUUUAUAGCGCUGAAUUCCUGAAAAAUGCCAAACCACAUCACCAGCAGAUGUUUCAAUGGGAAUGUAUUGUGUGUGUGUGUGUGUGUGUGUGUGUGUGUGUGUGUGUGUGUGUGUGUGUGUGUGUGUGUGUGUGUGUGUGUGUGUGUGUGUGUGUGUGUGUGUGUGUGUGUGUGUGUGUGUGUGUGUGUGUGUGUGUGUGUGUGUGUGUGUGUGUGUGUGUGUGUGUGUGUGAACUCACAUGGCUGAAGAGCUCAUUGGUGAGCCCCAGAUAGUUGUGCAGGGCUAGGACUGUUACUCUUUGGAGACGAACCAUGAUAAUCUAAACAAAUAAAACAGGAAGUGAGUC